AAAAAAUUUCAGUUCUGCUUAAGUAAGAAUCGUUACACUUAUACGAAUCAGCCGCCAAUCCUCGGAUGCUUUUAAAUUAAGUAAAAAUGUGCCUAAGAAGCCGUCUUUCCUGAAGAGGGAUCUGGAUGAACGAGCGCAUUCGAAAACAUACAGGCUUUAGUUUAGAUUGCCAGGAACGAGAAAUUGGAUGUUACCAUUAAUGCCACCUUAUGGACUGACUCCGUACAGCAAAAGAUACGUCUGAGGAAAGAUAUAUUUGUUUCAAAAUUAUCUUUGUUUCCAAAGUAGGAUGAGAAGACAGGUUUGUUUAUUUACACCUCUGAGGGAAGUAACACUGAUCGUCGAGUCGGCGGAAAAUCAGUCCAGCGU